CCAAACUUGGUCAUUUAGAGGAAGUAAAAGUCGUAACAAGGUCUCCGUUGGUGAACCAGCGGAGGGAUCAUUAAAGAGUUUUUACAACUCCCAAACCCCUGUGAACAUACCUUCUGUUGCCUCGGCAGGCCCUGGCCUACCCUGUAGCGCCCCUACACUGUAGGGCCUGCUUUAGGGGGGCGCUGGGGGAACCUGCCGGCGGCCCGCAAAACUCUGUUUAGCAUUGAAUUCUGAACGUAUAACUAAAUAAGUUAAAACUUUCAACAACGGAUCUCUUGGUUCUGGCAUCGAUGAAGAACGCAGC
rnacentral:misc_RNA from 1 species